rnacentral:rRNA from 1 species
UGCGCAGGCUAACACAUGCAAGUCGAACGGUAACAUUUCUAGCUUGCUAGAAGAUGACGAGUGGCGGACGGGUGAGUAAUACUUAGGAAUAUGCCUUUGUGUGGGGGAUAACCAUUGGAAACGAUGGCUAAUACCGCAUAACGUCUUCGGACCAAAGGGGGCCUUGGCUCCCGCGCAAAGAGUAGCCUAAGCGAGAUUAGCUUGUUGGUGAGGUAAAGGCUCACCAAGGCGACGAUCUCUAGCUGUUCUGAGAGGAAGAUCAGCCACACUGGAACUGAGACACGGUCCAGACUCUACGGGAGGCAGCAGUGGGGAAUAUUGCACAAUGGGGGAAACCCUGAUGCAGCCAUGCCGCGUGUGUGAAGAAGGCCUUCGGGUUGUAAAGCACUUUCAGUUGUGAGGAAAGGUUAACGGUUAAUACCCGUUAGCUGUGACGUUAGCAACAGAAGAAGGACCGGCUAACUCCGUGCCAGCAGCCGCGGUAAUACGGAGGGUCCGAGCGUUAAUCGGAAUUACUGGGCGUAAAGCGCACGCAGGCGGUUUGUUAAGCUAGAUGUGAAAGCCCUGGGCUCAACCUGGGAAUUGCAUUUAGAACUGGCAGGCUAGAGUUUUGGAGAGGGGAGUGGAAUUCCAGGUGUAGCGGUGAAAUGCGUAGAUAUCUGGAGGAACAUCAGUGGCGAAGGCGACUCCCUGGUCAGUAACUGACGCUCAUGUGCGAAAGUGUGGGUAGCGAACAGGAUUAGAUACCCUGGUAGUCCACACCGUAAACGCUGUCUACUAGCUGUUUGUGGAUUUAAUCCGUGAGUAGCGAACUAACGCGAUAAGUAGACCGCCUGGGGAGUACGGCCGCAAGGUUAAAACUCAAAUGAAUUGACGGGGGCCCGCACAAGCGGUGGAGCAUGUGGUUUAAUUCGAUGCAACGCGAAGAACCUUACCUACU